rnacentral:rRNA from 1 species
UACGGAGGGUGCAAGCGUUAUCCGGAUUCACUGGGUUUAAAGGGUGCGUAGGCGGGCAGGUAAGUCAGUGGUGAAAUCUCCGAGCUUAACUCGGAAACUGCCGUUGAUACUAUUUGUCUUGAAUAUUGUGGAGGUAAGCGGAAUAUGUCAUGUAGCGGUGAAAUGCUUAGAUAUGACAUAGAACACCAAUUGCAAAGGCAGCUUACUACACAACGAUUGACGCUGAGGCACGAAAGCGUGGGGAUCAAACAGG